UGGAGGCGUCCGAGUUCCAAAAGCUGGAGGGUCUGUGUCUCGCUGGGGCCUCCAAA
rnacentral:precursor_RNA from 1 species